AAACGUGCAUGGAUACCGCUGUAGAGAUUAAAGGCUUUCGCUCUAUGCCCACAAAAUGCACGAAUAUAAAAUUUCAAAUGUUCUUCGAUGAGCCUGGCCGUUUAAGCUUCGAAUCAGGAACAGAUACGGAACAUACAAUU
rnacentral:snoRNA from 12 species